rnacentral:rRNA from 1 species
GACGAACGCUGGCGGCGUGCUUAACACAUGCAAGUCGAACGGAAAGGCCCUGCUUUUGUGGGGUGCUCGAGUGGCGAACGGGUGAGUAACACGUGAGUAACCUGCCCUUGACUUUGGGAUAACUUCAGGAAACUGGGGCUAAUACCGGAUAGGAGCUCCUGCUGCAUGGUGGGGGUUGGAAAGUUUCGGCGGUUGGGGAUGGACUCGCGGCUUAUCAGCUUGUUGGUGGGGUAGUGGCUUACCAAGGCUUUGACGGGUAGCCGGCCUGAGAGGGUGACCGGCCACAUGGGGACUGAGAUACGGCCCAGACUCCUACGGGAGGCAGCAGUGGGGAAUAUUGCACAAUGAGCGGAAGCCUGAUGCAGCAACGCCGCGUUCGGGAUGACGUCCUUCGGGUUGUGAACCGCUUUCGCCUGUGACGAAGCGUGAGUGACGGUAAUGGGUAAAGAAGCACCGGCUAACUACGUG